AUAGCGUAUAUUAAAGUUGUUGCAGUUAAAAAGCUCGUAGUUGAACUUCAGACCUGGCUGGGCGGUCCGCCUAACGGCGUGUACUGUCUGGGUGGGCCUUACCUCUUGGUGAGCCGGCGUGCCCUUUAUUGGUGUGCGUCGGGGAACCAGGACUUUUACCUUGAGAAAAUUAGAGUGUUCAAAGCAGGCCUGUGCCCGAAUACAUUAGCAUGGAAUAAUAAAAUAGGACGUGCGGUUCUAUUUUGUUGGUUUCUAGAGUCGCCGUAAUGAUUAAUAGGGAUAGUUGGGGGCAUUAGUAUUCAAUUGUCAGAGGUGAAAUUCUUGGAUUUAUUGAAGACUAACUACUG
rnacentral:rRNA from 1 species